rnacentral:pre_miRNA from 1 species
CAACUACUCCCUCUGUCCCAAAUUUCUUGUCUUAGAUUUGUCUAGAUACGGAUGUAUCUAAUACUAAAAUGUGACUUGAUACAUCCGUAUCNACGGAUGUAUCUAAUACUAAAAUGUGACUUGAUACAUCCGUAUCUAGACAAAUCUAAGACAAGAAUUUUGGGACGGAGGGAGUACUUU